UACGUAGGGGGCAAGCGUUAUCCGGAUUUACUGGGUGUAAAGGGAGCGUAGGUGGUUUGGUAAGUCAGAUGUGAAAGCCCGGGGCUCAACCCCGGGACUGCAUUUGAAACUAUCAAACUAGAGUGCAGGAGAGGUAAGUGGAAUUCCUAGUGUAGCGGUGAAAUGCGUAGAUAUUAGGAGGAACACCAGUGGCGAAGGCGGCUUACUGGACUGUAACUGACACUGAGGCUCGAAAGCGUGGGGAGCAAACAGG
rnacentral:rRNA from 1 species